AACGUAGGUCACAAGCGUUGUCCGGAAUUACUGGGUGUAAAGGGAGCGCAGGCGGGUUUUCAAGUUGGGAGUGAAAUACAUGGGCUCAACCCAUGAACUGCUCUCAAAACUGGAGAUCUUGAGUAGUGCAGAGGUAGGCGGAAUUCCCGGUGUAGCGGUGGAAUGCGUAGAGAUCGGGAGGAACACCAGUGGCGAAGGCGGCCUACUGGGCACCAACUGACGCUGAGGCUCGAAAGUGUGGGUAGCAAACAGG
rnacentral:rRNA from 1 species